CCCCAUCAGAUAACACAGCGGAAUAAGAGUGAAGUUCUACUUUGGCCCAUCCUGACAAACUACCUCAAGUUGUAACACCCAGUGUGUGAACCCAUUGACAAGACCUUCGCAGGGAGCUGCCGAGAGUGCUCAUAGCCCUUGACCCAGGCUCGAUGACCCGGAAGUAAUUCGGGAGAGGAAGAACCGUCAGGUGUCUGUUUGUUCUUGUGAUGCCUGUGAUUGCUCCAAAUUGAUAACUGAGAAAUCAAAUGACGGGGAAGGGUUGCACAACACCCGGAAGCCAGAUGAUGUCACGCAGCCAUUAGGAGUGAUGAGAAAAUCAGGCAGUCUUGAGCAUAGGGGGUGCUUGGAAUGUGAUGCUUGGUUCUAAAGGUGGAGAGUAGCAACUCUUCCUUUUACAAGUUCUCCAAAACUUCCUUGACUUCUGUCAGUCAGAUCCCAUCCAUCUGCCUUCCAGAUCCAGGCCCAUUCAGGCCUCACAGCUGCUGGUCAUGUACACAGCACUCAGUGGUGGACAUGUCCACACCUGGCUCCGUCCACAUCUGUUCCCUGCCGCCUGACACUUCAUAAAGACUUGCUGAAUUCAGGAGUCAAGGAGCUACUGUUCGCUGAACACCCACUAGACAGUCACAGUUGUGACCAGCGUAACUCUGGCUCAAGAGGACAUUCCGUCCCAAGACGUGCUCAUGAGCAAAGCUUGCCUACAUUACAGGAAGCAGCUGCUGUAAGCCAAGCGUGCUGGAGACCUAGCCCUUUGUUCUGCCGCUCUCACAGGCAGGCGACUUAAGUCCCUACUGCCUAUGGGAAGCUGGGCUGUGCCGUCUGGAGCUGGCUGAGGCGAGGCACGUGAGCUCAAGUGGAGCAAAUGCAGGGCCACUGUCAUUAUGGAAAUCAUGACUCUGAAGGCUAGUGCUGCGUCUAAAUGGGUUGGAAUGAAAUGCAAAGAACACAUCCAUCACUUGGGUCCCCCCUGCCUCUCAUUACUGUACUACCCUGCCUAUGUAUUAUGAAUUAAUAUAGUUAAUAAAUCCUGUAAUUAUCUUGUGAACGGUA